CGUGUGCUCUUCUGAUCUGUCGAACUUCAGCAAUAAUCCAAGAAAUGGAAAAUAAGCAGGAGGAUACCAUUUUUUAAUUACAUUGCAAAGAUGAGAGAGAACCCUCAGUAUUAAGGAAAGCGUGAGGAACCAGGCCAUCUCGUCUCUGACAGUGAGAAGGUAAAUUGUAAAAUCUUUGCAAAGAGAUUUUGACAGUGGAUAAGAGAAGAUUUAAAAUUUGGAAAUGCCCUUUGAGACAAGCAAGGCCGCUUUUAGGCAUGAUCCUGAGCGAACGAUGGUCGAAUCUGACCAGCAACAAAAAGAUUCCUAUCAGCUUUGCUAAUAUUAGUGAGAUCCUUCAAAAUGUCCUGGGAAAAGGGUGAAUAAAUUGUGGUUUAUCCAUCCACUGAAACACUACACAGCCAGAAAACUGUGUCUUGUAAGCAAAUACUUGGUCAUCGAGGGAAAUGCCCCCCCAGUGGAGCAGAUCCUCUGACCCCAGGUUGCAGAAUCAGAGUGUGCGUUUGCAUGGGUGCACCUGUCACAAGAGCAAAUGCCUCUCGGCCAAAGCGGGAGUCAGAGAUCUCCCUCUCAUUAUUCUCAUUGGCUUUCCUUCUUUGCCAAAUUUUCUGCAAAUGCCAGGGUCUUACUCCAAGAAAACGGCGCUUUUUAAAGGCAGAGUCGAGGGUGUGCACAAGCGAGUCGUUGGUCUGGACUCUGCUGACCCCUCCCCUGCGUGCCCAUCGCAAAGCCCCGCUCCUGAGGGACCAGCCUGUUGUUACCCUCGCUGGGCCCUCCUCUCAAUAUUACAGGUUUGGUGCCACCUGAAGUCACGUAAGAAAAAAUAAUUAUUUUUCUGUCUUCUGCAACCCUCGGCUCAAGACCCUGACUGUUAUUUUUAUGCAGUGCCUUUAGUGGUAGUUUAAUUUGAUACACUUUUCCAGAACGUAUGAAUAUGGCCCUGCAGGUUUGUUUGGGGCAGCAGGGCUGUGUAUGGGUUUCCUGCGAUGACGGGAAUUCGGGAAUUCGCUUGUCCUUGUCCUUGCCCCCACCCCCCAGUGGUACCCUCCCCCAUUUGCUAACAACACCCUCACUUGUCUUUAUUUUGUAAACUCGUCUCCAUGUAUUUGGGGAUGUAUGUUCUUAAUCCCAAACCACUUCAGAUGUAUAGAAGUAAGUGGGAGAAAUACGACGAACUCAUGGACUGUUCUCCUAACCCAAACUGGGAGGUGAAAUACGACAGAAGCCCCCUUACCUUCUGGAGGCGUUUGUGCUCGCUGAUGAUCGGAAUGAGAAGUUAAAACCACUCCCCCCUAGCCCCUGGCCUUCUGUGGUGGCCCGUGAGCGCUCGGGACUGGAGGGGACACCGGUGGGCCAGGGCGUUCGUCCCCCCACCAGCAGGCCCGGUUGUGCAGAGCCCUGCCCGCCCCUAGUGCCUGAAUCACACCUCCACCUCCCUGGGGACCUGACACCAGCCGCGGGUCCCCAGGCACAGCCCCCGGGCUCCUAGUUUCACGUUCCCCUUCGGAUCCUCAGCCAUAAUCUAAUUUGCACUAGGCCUGCCUUCUCUCACCCCUGGGCUGCGCUUGAGGCAUACUUCUGGCAAGUUCUGGGACCGCACUUGCCAGAUGACCAAACCCUCUUCAGAAACAUGACUGAAAUAUUUGUAAGUUUCCAUCGCGGCCGGUGAAGCGGCCCGAGGCUCGGGGAGGGAGAGCCCCGCGCGUGUGCGUGCUCCAGGUUGUCUCCUGUCCGCACACCCGUCCACACGCCGUGGCUGCCAGGCCAGCCGUGCGUUAAUCCUCAACCCGAAACCACAGAUACCUUCCGCUGUCGCGACACAGGGAAACCAGGAGGUUAAGGGCCGGGUUGGUCCCCGCCGUGGGCCUCCUGCCUGAAUCGGAGCCGACCGUGGAGCAAAGCGGGUGACUCAGAGCCGUGGCUUUCUGUCUUCUGGCUGUUCAAGUAAACAGCAGGGAGGCUUGAAUGGGAGGCCAGGCGCGCAGGGCAGAGGCGGCUCCAGGCUCCUGAGGGCGGGCGUGGGCACACGCUCGUGGGACUGGAGUGGAGGCCGGUGCCCAUGGGGCCACGGCAGGGCCCAGAGGGGUCGGGGAGGGGGGGUAUGUGGUGAGUGCAGGCCUUGGGUGCUCAGAGAUGCCAGGCCAGGGUGCACCCUGGCCCGGGGUCCGUGUUGCGCUCCAACCCCCGUCAGAAAUGCUUGUUGGGGACAUUCCUGCACAAAGUUGCCCUUCAGUAAGCUCCUGUGCACUCAGGAAGGCGGUCCUUGGGAUUUCCCAACUCCUUUGGGACCCUCUGUAAGGUGGAGAGUGUCAGGCAUGCACCGGGGCCUGGCCUCAGGAUCUGGGAGCGGGGAAAGGCUGGGGGCUCUGGAAAACUCACAGGGUGUAGCUGGGGUGACCUAGAUUCAGGGGGGACCGGGUGGUCUCACCCAACCCAGACCUGGCUGCAGAGGGGUCUUAGGAGCUCCCGUGUCCCGCUCCAGACUGGCAGCGGGGGUAAGCGACUAUGGCAGAAGCACUCCGCCCCGCAGGGGUGCGCAGAGCAGAGCACACGGGCAGAGACGCUGAGUGCCCACAGCUGAGGCUCUGGCCCACCCCGCCCCCUGACCACAGCGCUUGGCCUGUAGUGUUAUUUUAAUCCUGAAAAGAACCCAGUCCGGUUGGGUCUCUAACUGCCACUCCCCAGGUGGGAAAACUGAGGGGCUUUGGUGGCUCAGCUAAGGGCACCCAGCCAGCAGCGGGAAGAGGCAGGAAUUGAACUGAGGCCGUCUGGGCCUUCAGCAGACUGUGUAGGAGCGAAGAUUUCCCUUCUGUGUCGAAUAUGGCCCAGCUCCUGCUCUGGGGCCGUGCUGUUCCGUUGGGCGUCUCUGGCUCAGCCAAGGCGGUUGGUGGUCCCCAAAUGUAGCAGGGCAGUUCCUCAGAGAGAGAGGGGAGAGGCCCCGCCCAGCAUAUGUGGCAUUUCCUAGGCCCUUGGCCUCUGCUCGUGGGCGGCCCAGCCAGCUCACGCUGCCGGGUGGGGGCUGACCUCGCCCCCCGCGCCGCCCCCCGCACCUGUGCAGCUUGCUGUUGGCAGGACUCGGUGAGACAGGCCGGGUGCUGUUCAGCCUGGACAGCGGGGUCCCCGGGGCCAGAAAUGGGCAGGUUGCCCCUCUCCUUUCCCGGGCAUCUCUUGGCUCUUCAUGCCCGGCGAUUAAACCUUUGAACUUGCAGGGCCAGGGAAGAAGGGGAAUCUCGGGGUCUGUGCUAUUAAGACUUUGCUG